AUUGUUUCUUGGCCUUUUUGGCUAGAUCAAGUGUAGUAUCUGUUCUUAUCAAUUUAAUAUCUGAUAUGCCCUCUAUCCAAGGACAAUACAUUAAAUGGAUUUUUGGAGCUGGGACAUGGAAUAGGAGUUUGCUCUGUCCACUCAGCGCAUUGACCUGAUAUUGUAGUAAUAACUGGAAUGGUGUACACACA
ensembl:snRNA U2 U2 spliceosomal RNA